rnacentral:rRNA from 1 species
AAACAGCAAAAUGGAGCAGGCAUCAGGAACAACAAUUUUAGCCCACAACGCCUUGCUAUGCCACACCUACAAAGGCCUGCAGCAGUGAUUAACAUUAAACAAUAAGCGAAAGCUUGAUUUGACUAUAAUUAAUUAAAGUCGGUAAAUUUCGUGCCAGCCACCGCGGUUAUACGAAAGACUAAAAAUAAUGAAAUCGGCGUAAAGAGUGACUAAAGAACCAUCAACAAUUAAGAGUGAAACCACGAUAAAGCCGUAAAACGCCAACAUAAAUGAGAACAACAAUAAACCCUUAAACCAUGACCCCCUUUAACUCACCAAAGCUAAGAAACAAACUAGGAUUAGAUACCCUACUAUGCUUAAGCCCUAAACAUUGACAAUAUUCAUACACAAUUGUUCGCCAGAGGACUACAAGCGAAAAGCUUAAAACUCAAAGGACUUGACGGUGUCCCACAUCAACCUAGAGGAGCCUGUCCUAUAAUCGAUACCCCACGCUAAACCUCACCCCUCCUAGCCAUCAGCCUAUAUACCGCCGUCAAAAGCCAACCUCAUGAGAGACCCACUAGUCGGCAAAACGGUUAACAACAAAAAAGUCAGGUCAAGGUGUAGCCAAUGAAGGGGGCAGAGAUGGGCUACAUUUUCUUCCAUAGACCAUACGAAUAACAUAGUGAAACUUAUGUUUAAAGGAGGAUUUAGAAGUAAGACAAACAAGAAUACUUGUCUUAAACAAGCUCUGGGACGCGUACACACCGCCCGUCACCCUCAUCACACCAACAACCAAAAGAAACAUAUUACAACAUAAAAAACUAGAUGAGAUAAGUCGUAACACGGUAAG